rnacentral:rRNA from 1 species
GACGAACGCUGGCGGCGUGCCUAAUACAUGCAAGUCGAGCGGACUUGACAGAGCUUGCUCUGUUCAAGUUAGCGGCGGACGGGUGAGUAACACGUGGGCAACCUGCCCUGCAGAUUGGCAUAACUCCGGGAAACCGGGGCUAAUACCGAAUAACAUUGAAAACCUCAUGGUUUUCUUUUAAAAGGCGGCUUCGGCUGUCACUGCAGGAUGGGCCCGCGGCGCAUUAGCUAGUUGGUGAGGUAACGGCGCACCAAGGCGACGGUGCGUAGCCGACCGGGGAGGGUGAGCGGCCACACUGGGACUGAGACACGGCCAAGACUCCUACGGGAGGCAGCAGUAGGGAAUCUUCCGCAAUGGACGAAAGUCUGACGGAGCAACGCCGCGUGAGUGAAGAAGGUUUUCGGAUCGUAAAACUCUGUUGUCAGGGAAGAACAAGUACGGGAGUAACUGACCGUACCUUGACGGUACCUGACCAGAGAGCCACGGCUAACUACGUGCCAGCAGCCGCGGUAACAC